rnacentral:rRNA from 1 species
CCUACGGGUGGCAGCAGUGAGGAAUAUUGGUCAAUGGGCGCGAGCCUGAACCAGCCAAGUAGCGUGAAGGAUGACUGCCCUACGGGUUGUAAACCUCUUUUGUCGGGGAACAAAGGCGUCCACGUGUGGACUGAUGAGUGUACCCGAAGAAAAAGCAUCGGCUAACUCCGUGCCAGCAGCCGCGGUAAUACGGAGGAUCCGAGCGUUAUCCGGAUUUAUUGGGUUUAAAGGGAGCGUAGGCGGGUUGUUAAGUCAGUUGUGAAAGUUUGCGGCUCAACCGUAAAAUUGCAGUUGAUACUGGCAUCCUUGAGUACAGUAGAGGUAGGCGGAAUUCGUGGUGUAGCGGUGAAAUGCUUAGAUAUCACGAAGAACUCCGAUUGCGAAGGCAGCCUGCUGGACUGUAACUGACGCUGAUGCUCGAAAGUGUGGGUAUCAAACAGGAUUAGAUACCCUUGUAGUC